rnacentral:rRNA from 1 species
GUGGGGAAUAUUGGACAAUGGGGGGAACCCUGAUCCAGCCAUGCCGCGUGUGUGAAGAAGGCCUUUUGGUUGUAAAGCACUUUAAGCGAGGAGGAGGCUACCGAGAUUAAUACUCUUGGAUAGUGGACGUUACUCGCAGAAUAAGCACCGGCUAACUCUGUGCCAGCAGCCGCGGUAAUACAGAGGGUGCAAGCGUUAAUCGGAUUUACUGGGCGUAAAUCGCGCGUAGGUGGCCAAUUAAGUCAAAUGUGAAAUCCCCGAGCUUAACUUGGGAAUUGCAUUCGAUACUGGUUGGCUAGAGUAUGGGAGAGGAUGGUAGAAUUCCAGGUGUAGCGGUGAAAUGCGUAGAGAUCUGGAGGAAUACCGAUGGCGAAGGCAGCCAUCUGGCCUAAUACUGACACUGAGGUGCGAAAGCAUGGGGAGCAAACAGGAUUAGAAACCCGGGUAGUCC